rnacentral:rRNA from 1 species
UACGGAAGGGGCUAGCGUUGUUCGGAAUCACUGGGCGUAAAGCGCGCGUAGGCGGCCGGUCAAGUGCGGCGUGAAAGUCCUGGGCUCAACCCGGGGACGGCGCUGCGGACUGUCCGGCUGGAGUCCGGAAGAGGGUGGUGGAAUUCCGAGUGUAGAGGUGAAAUGUGUUGAUAUCGGAAGGAACGCCGGUGGCGAAAGCGACACACUGGGCCUUGUCUGACGCUGAGGCACGAAAGCCAGGGGAGCAAACGGG